rnacentral:rRNA from 1 species
GAUUGAACGCUGGCGGCAGGCCUAACACAUGCAAGUCGAACGGCAGCACAGAAGAGCUUGCUCUUUGGGUGGCGAGUGGCGGACGGGUGAGUAAUGUCUGGGAAACUGCCCGAUGGAGGGGGAUAACUACUGGAAACGGUAGCUAAUACCGCAUAACGUCGCAAGACCAAAGUGGGGGACCUUCGGGCCUCACACCAUCGGAUGUGCCCAGAUGGGAUUAGCUAGUAGGUGGGGUAAUGGCUCACCUAGGCGACGAUCCCUAGCUGGUCUGAGAGGAUGACCAGCCACACUGGAACUGAGACACGGUCCAGACUCCUACGGGAGGCAGCAGUGGGGAAUAUUGCACAAUGGGCGCAAGCCUGAUGCAGCCAUGCCGCGUGUAUGAAGAAGGCCUUCGGGUUGUAAAGUACUUUCAGCGGGGAGGAAGGCGGUGAGGUUAAUAACCUUGCCGAUUGACGUUACCCGCAGAAGAAGCACCGGCUAACUCCGUGCCAGCAGCCGCGGUAAUACGGAGGGUGCAAGCGUUAAUCGGAAUUACUGGGCGUAAAGCGCACGCAGGCGGUCUGUUAAGUCAGAUGUGAAAUCCCCGGGCUUAACCUGGGAACUGCAUUUGAAACUGGCAGGCUUGAGUCUCGUAGAGGGGGGUAGAAUUCCAGGUGUAGCGGUGAAAUGCGUAGAGAUCUGGAGGAAUACUCGGUGGCGAAAGGCGGCCCCCUGGGACGAAGACUGACGCUCAGGUGCGAAAGCGUGGGGAGCAAACAGGAUUAGAUACCCUGGUAGUCCACGCCGUAAACGAUGUCGACUUGGAGGUUGUGCCCUUGAGGCGUGGCUUCCGGAGCUAACGCGUUAAGUCGACCGCCUGGGGAGUACGGCCGCAAGGUUAAAACUCAAAUGAAUUGACGGGGGCCCGCACAAGCGGUGGAGCAUGUGGUUUAAUUCGAUGCAACGCGAAGAACCUUACCUGGCCUUGACAUCCAGAGAACUUAGCAGAGAUGCUUUGGUGCCUUCGGGAACUCUGAGACAGGUGCUGCAUGGCUGUCGUCAGCUCGUGUUGUGAAAUGUUGGGUUAAGUCCCGCAACGAGCGCAACCCUUAUCCUUUGUUGCCAGCGGCUCGGCCGGGAACUCAAAGGAGACUGCCGGUGAUAAACCGGAGGAAGGUGGGGAUGACGUCAAGUCAUCAUGGCCCUUACGGCCAGGGCUACACACGUGCUACAAUGGCGCAUACAAAGAGAAGCGACCUCGCGAGAGCAAGCGGACCUCAUAAAGCGCGUCGUAGUCCGGAUUGGAGUCUGCAACUCGACUCCAUGAAGUCGGAAUCGCUAGUAAUCGUAGAUCAGAAUGCUACGGUGAAUACGUUCCCGGGCCUUGUACUCACCG